CGGACGGGUGAGUAAUGUAUAGGAACUUGCCUAAUAGUGGGGGACAACGUGUGGAAACGCACGCUAAUACCGCAUACGCUCUACGGAGGAAAGCGGGGGCUCUUCGGACCUCGUGCUACUAGAUAGGCCUAUAUUGGAUUAGCUAGUUGGUAAGGUAAAGGCUUACCAAGGCGACGAUCCAUAGCUGGUUUGAGAGAAUGAUCAGCCACACUGGGACUGAGACACGGCCCAG
rnacentral:rRNA from 1 species